rnacentral:rRNA from 1 species
GAUGAACGCUGGCGGCGUGCCUAAUACAUGCAAGUCGAGCGAACAGAUAAGGAGCUUGCUCCUUUGACGUUAGCGGCGGACGGGUGAGUAACACGUGGAUAACCUACCUAUAAGACUGGGAUAACUUCGGGAAACCGGAGCUAAUACCGGAUAACAUAUUGAACCGCAUGGUUCAAUAGUGAAAGGCGGCUUUGCUGUCACUUAUAGAUGGAUCCGCGCCGUAUUAGCUAGUUGGUAAGGUAACGGCUUACCAAGGCAACGAUACGUAGCCGACCUGAGAGGGUGAUCGGCCACACUGGAACUGAGACACGGUCCAGACUCCUACGGGAGGCAGCAGUAGGGAAUCUUCCGCAAUGGGCGAAAGCCUGACGGAGCAACGCCGCGUGAGUGAUGAAGGUCUUCGGAUCGUAAAACUCUGUUAUCAGGGAAGAACAAAUGUGUAAGUAACUGUGCGCAUCUUGACGGUACCUGAUCAGAAAGCCACGGCUAACUACGUG